GUCUUCGCGGCUGCAUGCUGCAUUCCACUGGUUGUUAUACGAAAAUCUUUCGAAGUUCUAAUCUCCCGCGCGUUUUGUCUUGCAAUUUUUGAGCAUAGCGAGAACGUACGCCGUACUGUCCAGUGAUAAAAGCUGUUAAGCGCAGCGCCAGAGUACUGUGGUGGACAACGUUUCUUUGUUCUCUGGCUUUCAAGUUUAAGGGGUGCUUGGACUAUCUUGCAUCGGUGGAUAUGAAAAUAGUGGUAACCUACCCUACGAAACAGCUAUUUGCACAUAAGCUUAACAGUUCCCUGUGAGAUGCUGUGAAAGUCAGCAGGGAAGUGCGAUGUAGAAGAAAUGACUGCCAGAAGCUUGCUAAGGAG